ensembl:snRNA U5 U5 spliceosomal RNA
AUACUCCAGUUUCUCUUCAGAUCAUAUAAAUCUUUUGCUUUUUACUAAAGAUUUCUGUGGAGAAGAACAAUUCUGAGUCUGUGACCAAUUUUUUGAGGCGUUGCAUUUGUAGGGCU